rnacentral:misc_RNA from 1 species
AAGUCGUAACAAGGUCUCCGUUGGUGAACCAGCGGAGGGAUCAUUGCUGAGUUGUAAGACUCCAAACCACCGUGAACCUACCACUACGUUGCCUCGGCGGGCGGCUCCAGGGCGGAGCCUCAGGCCCCCCCGCGUUGGGGGGGGGCGCCCGCCGCAGGCCCAUUCAACUCUGUUGUCUCUAGGCCUCUCUGAGUUACCUGCGCAAGCAGUCAAAACUUUCAACAAUGGAUCUCUUGGCUCUG